rnacentral:rRNA from 1 species
CCUACGGGCGGCAGCAGUGGGGAAUAUUGGACAAUGGGGGGAACCCUGAUCCAGCCAUGCCGCGUGUGUGAAGAAGGCCCUCGGGUUGUAAAGCACUUUCAGUGAGGAAGAACGCCUGGUGGUUAAUACCCAUCAGGAAAGACAUCACUCACAGAAGAAGCACCGGCUAACUCCGUGCCAGCAGCCGCGGUAAUACGGAGGGUGCGAGCGUUAAUCGGAAUUACUGGGCGUAAAGCGCGCGUAGGUGGCUUGAUAAGCCGGUUGUGAAAGCCCCGGGCUCAACCUGGGAACGGCAUCCGGAACUGUCAAGCUAGAGUGCAGGAGAGGAAGGUAGAAUUCCCGGUGUAGCGGUGAAAUGCGUAGAGAUCGGGAGGAAUACCAGUGGCGAAGGCGGCCUUCUGGACUGACACUGACGCUGAGGUGCGAAAGCGUGGGUAGCAAACAGGAUUAGAUACCCUAGUAGUC